rnacentral:rRNA from 1 species
GAUGAACGCUGGCGGCGUGCCUAAUACAUGCAAGUCGAGCGAACAGACGAGGAGCUUGCUCCUCUGACGUUAGCGGCGGACGGGUGAGUAACACGUGGAUAACCUACCUAUAAGACUGGGAUAACUUCGGGAAACCGGAGCUAAUACCGGAUAAUAUAUUGAACCGCAUGGUUCAAUAGUGAAAGACGGUUUUGCUGUCACUUAUAGAUGGAUCCGCGCCGCAUUAGCUAGUUGGUAAGGUAACGGCUUACCAAGGCAACGAUGCGUAGCCGACCUGAGAGGGUGCCCGGCCCCCGUGAACUUGAGCCCCGUCCCAGCCUCCUACGGGGGGCACAUGUGGGGAUUCUUCCGCAUGGGGCGAACCCCUACGGGAGCACCGCCGCGGGAGUGAUGAAGGUCUCCGGCUCUAAACCCUCUGUUAUGGGGGAAGAACAAAUUGGAAAGUACUUAUCCCCGUUUGGACGGUCCCAACUCAAAAACCCCCGCCUACCUCCGU